CAUCUGGGCUGUUGGGAGUCCAGGAGCAUGCUUGUGUCCUAGCCGUGAGCACUGGACCUGGCGAUGGCCUGAUCUUCAUCUAGCAAUGGCUAGCUCAAAGGUCAAGCCCAUAGGGUGCUGGAAUCUUUAAGUCUUGGAGCAUUUAAAACAUGCAGAAAAUAGCAGACGAAGGUAUAAUAGCGACUCUAUGAAAUCCCUCAGUUUGUGAAACUGACUCUUUCCAUAGUUGUAGCAGCUUUGUACAUAUGAGCACGCAUGUUUACCCAUGAUCUUUCCUCGUGUCUUUAUGAAGUGUAAGUUGUCUAAGUCUCUUGGUGGUCUUUAUCUGUCUCCUCCCUUCUUUAAGUGUGAACUUGGAAAGAUACAGCCUGGAUUAUCAAGAUAUGUGACUUUCCAUUGGUGCAAGUCUUUGUAAAUUCAAAAUUGUUCUCAGAUUCAUACAUAAAGCUGACUCCGUGAACUGAGUGUUACCCUAAUUCUGGGUUGUCUGAGAAAUGUAAUCAAAACCUUUGCAUUUGUUCCUGGAUAAAUGUCAGGAGUUAUUGACCCUCUGUACUUUCUAGAGGUUCUUCUUCCAUUUUUCUCUUAAAAUUGCCACCUGCCAAUUUUGGCAGACACCAGCUCUGUGGCAGGUAGAAUACCUUAAAAUCUCCCCCCCCCCCCCACAGCAUGUGAGAUCUUAGCUCCCUGAUUGGGGAUCAAACCUCUAGACUCUGCAGUGGAAGUGAGGAGUCAACCACGGGCCCACCAGGGAAGUCCCAUUCUAUCCCAUCCUUGGGGUCUUCAAUCAGUGUUAUCAUGGAUGGCAAGGACCUUCUGAAAGUUUCAUUUUGUAAAGCUUCUUUUAUGAUUAAGCUACAGGCUAGGCACACACUAUUCCCUACUUGACCACUCUCAGUUUGUCUAGAUUUCAGAGAUUCAAAUUUUUAAAAAGACAUUCAAGGCAGUUACCAUAGAUGCCCUAGUGAGUUGUUAGGCUUUUGGUGGUACCAGAGAUCCUUGCGUGAACUGCCUGGAGGAAGAGACAGCUGGAGGUCUAGUAAUGUAGGAUUUAGACAUCAAGACAAGUUUCAUAUCAAAGCCAGAUUCCAUCUCACACUGCAGGGUCCUUUUGUUUUAAACUAUUAUCUCGAUUUCCAGCUUCUCCUUAUGAAAAAGCUAACAGACAGCCUGAAAUCUUACAUGAAUAGAAAAAGGAAUGUAAGCGACUACUGAAAACCCUGGCCUUGUGGAAGUCACAUCCUUUUCUAAUCUUGCUGUGGACACGAAACCCAGCAGGCCUCUGUACUGCCCCUGAGGGCUGUUGGCCCUGCAACUUCAUAGCGUUAAGUGUUCAGCUGCACUUGCACCGAUGGCAGCCACAAGUUGUCAAGACGUUUCCUCCUAGAGGGUGUGUUUGUAUCCGUGUGUGUGUAGAUCUGGUCUAGUUUCUAGAGCUCUGCAGUAGUUUAACACCUCACAUCCCUUUAACCUGUCACCACCACUGUCCUAGAGAUUGUUAGCAGAAAGCCUCUUGAAUCCUGGCUAACUCACAGAUUAACUUAGUGAAUGUAAUCAAAGCAGGAGAUGCCAUCAGCGAGGUGGUAUCAAGAGAAAAAAAGACAGAGAAGUAGCAUAGGGAAUGUGGGACGCAGCAGAGGAGAGGGCUAACCUGCAUGCGGCUGUGGUCUCAGCAGGAAGAAGGUAAGACAGAUGAUAUAAUAGCAGUUUCCCCAAACUAAGAUCUACAUUAACUUUUGCCUUCAGUGAGAACUAUUUGCAUUUUACUUUAAAUGACGUCUGCUGUAAGCCCCACAUCCUGAUCCAGAUCCAUCACAUUCAACCCCCAUCAACCAAUUCCUAAAAGUAUACCGAGUGUCACCAGAAGCCAGGACUUGAUAUAAAAAGCUUGGCUUCUAAACCACUGUGACAUAGCCAGGCAGGUUCUGGGGAUCUCCUGGGCUCUCAUCUGCCACCAGGCCCAACACAGGGCACAGGAGAACACCCAGUCCUCGUCCACUUCUAGAGAACCUCCUCCUUUGGAUAGGACUCCCAGGUGGCCAGGCUCUUGGCAUUGAGAACUGGGGCAAAUAUGAAGAGAUAGGAGUCAUUCCCUUGGUUUGGAAAGACGCAGGAGAUGGUGGUUACGCUUAAACGGAGGGAUAAGAAGUCCACAAAUAUAGGUCCCUCCAAAUCACUUCCUGGAAUAAUCUGAAGACAGAUUUGUAAAACUGAAGCUCAGUUGUGAGGCUCAAUUCCAGACACACAAUGUUCAGGAACGUUCCCUGAGAAACCUUGUGGUACUGCUGGGAGAAGCAACUGAGUGGAGUUUUAGGAAGAAUUCUUAGGAUUUGGAAUUAAGAUGGCAGGGUAGAUGUUUCCAGAAAAGAUUAUCCCUCAAGAUACAUCCUACCAACACCCAGGAUGUUGUUCCCUUCUCCACACUUCCUCAGAAGCAAGUAGCCCCUACUUUCCCCACCAUAUAGCCAAUAUUUUAUAGUAGCUAUAAAGUAUAACCAUCAGGCUAUCAGUAUAUUGUACACCUGUAACAAUGUUGUAUAGCAACUAUAAUUUGAUAAGAAAAUUAAAAACGGUAAUGUGAAUGAAAGUGACUCCAUACCCAACAGCACAUGGUUUGUUUUUUUUAAACACACAGGGAUUUACACUUGUAACCAUCCUGGUACCCCGUUACCAACCUCAUCUGUCUGUCCCUCAUUCUCUGCCUGCUAACACACCCCUGAGUGUUAACAGAAUUGAGGAGCGAGGUUGGACUGCUGACCUCAGUUCCCUGUAUCUUUAAUACAAAUACGAAUUUGCCUAACCCUUUGUGAUCACAAGAUGGGUAGAGACAGUUUUGAGUGGAGACACCACAGAUUUUCUGAGUAGACUUAAUGCAAGUUGACAAGAGAGCGUAUUACAGGGUAGACAGGAUCUGCCUGUUAACAUAAGGCAAGGUGACUUUCUAGGAUGAAUGGAAAGGGCUCAUCUCAUCCUUGGGCUUGGAUUCAGAGUUUAUUUGGUUCAUCUUAAGUAUAGGAAAGGAAGACACCUAAUAUCACUUCUUCCAACUGCCAUUUUCAAGGACUAGGGACAGAGGAAUAUAGUAGAUUCAGACACCUGCCAGUUACUCCCACUGGCCACUCAACUAAGACUUGAAUUUGGGCUCUCUAGACUUGAAUUCGAACAUAUGACCCAGAUAUCAAAGUCCCACUAGAAGUGGAGGUCAGAGGGCAACAUGAGCUCGCGAGGGGCAGUUGGCACCACGUCAACAGGCACCACAGAGGGGGAGAGUCACCCAUGAGGGACCGAGACGACCAAUGAAAGCAGAGCUGAUAAAAGGUGGUCGAUGCCGCCAGUUCACUCCCUGCAUUUUGCUUCAUUUUUAUGGGCAAAUAACCUUGAGAACAGAUUUUCACAUCAGGCAGCUGACGGAAAGUAUGGGAGACUGUCGUCAGAGUCUACCUUUAGACUGUAGGUUAGCUACAGGACACCAUGUAAAGAGCCCGAAGUCACAGUUCUAAGCCCUCCUGUCACAUGGCUGCUUGUGCUGCCUUGGAUCUGUAGGUCAGUGUGUGGCUCAUGCAGGAUUUCUUGCUGAGCAUAGAACCGGACAUAGAUGACCAUCCUCAGGGCAAGAAAGACACACCCUAGUGACAGGGAGACCUUGAAGCCAUCCCUCACUGAUUUUAGGGCUCAGGCUGUUUACCAGGAGCUUCCCUGAAAGGCUACCCUUCAGGGGUAUUAAUAUUUUAGUUACUCCUAUUUGCAGCAUCAUGAAGCCUUCCAGAAAAAUCUAGGGAUAUGUUUGGCAGAUGCCAGAGAAGGAAGGAAGUUCCACAAAAGGACACCACAGUGAGUAGAAGAGGUUUCUUAGGUGUAGACCUCCCAGCACGGGAGGAGAUACGCCCAGGGAGCCCUGAAGAGUGUACUUGGGUCAUUCAGGUCCAAAAUGCAGAGGGACCACUUUUAUAAAGUCUAGAGUCAGAAAAGCUGGACCAGGACCUCCAGGACUGUAUGCCAGCUACCAUCUGCCACCAAAAAGGAUGUCAGGGGAAGCCCCUAUGUGAAGGGCUAUAAGUGGUCAAGAAAAUUCUAUUAGGUUUUGGGAAUAAAAAUGUCAGCGGCUUACAGCUAUUGUGGCCCCAUACUGAGUUUUUCACGUUAAAAUGGUGGUGAGUCGGCACCCAGAAGGUCCCCAGUGAGAAGCCUACAAUGCUGGGGUCACCCCUGGCUCCCCAGGACUCACCCUCAGCCAGUUAUCAUCCUGGCUCAGUCCCUCCAUGCUUCUCCCUCUGGCACGUCCAUCAUGAAGAAGGGUCCAGAGCGUCUUGGGCCUUGGGGUCAUUUUAGGACCCCUGUCCUCCCGCCAACACACGUCCAAGACCAAGCCACGUUCAUGCAGAUCCUUUCAGACUCUUAGGAAAUAAAUUUUAAGGUACAUGAAUUCAUGGAUUUAACCUGUCUCAGAGGUUGUCCUGAGGGUCCUGUUCUCCUUGAAAACAGACAGCUAGUCUGAAAAGUGGUCAGUUCUUCCUUCGCCAGGCUAGUGUCUGAAUAAAGGCGCUGAGCAGUCACGCAAGCUGGGCGCCAGAGGAACAAGGUGUGGACAUGGUGGCAUUGACCGCCAGGACUGUGGCAGCAAAAUGAAAUGAGUGAACAGCCUUAUGGCACAUACCAGCCAAACAGACCUACAGGAGUUAAACAACCCUGGUUACUGUUUAGCUGUUCCUAACACACGCUUGUAGCUAGACUCGUCCUUCGGAAAGCUAAUCACUCUGACUCCAUGUAGAUUACACUCUGCAUCUAGCAUUCUUCUCCCCUCUUGUGUAGAAUUCUGCAUUUCAGAAAGAAGGUCAUGGGCCAAUAAUUUCAGGGACACCAGACCUGCUUGCUGAGUUGCCCGAGGCCGGCUGUGGCCAUUUGGAAACUUCUCAAAAGAAAUGCAAAACCUUCAAGAGGAUAUAAAACCUCUCCCUAUUCCCCAAAGAGGCGGCAUGUUCUGGAGGCACUAGCCUGCUGUGCGUUUCCCUUGGACUGGCAAAAAUAAAGCUGCUCUUGUCUAUUUCCUCCACAAACUCAGUCUCCACCUCUCUCUCUGGCAUCGGUAGACAGAGCCAAGAUUCUGGCAACAGAACCAGUCCAGCAGGCGAAGAGCUAGUGGAGGCGGCCCCCGCAGGCAGCUCGCCUCUGCGGGGCCCACAGGAAGCAUCGCCCGUGUCCAUCACUGCACCCCUCUGUCCUUUCCCACCCCUUGGCUUUUUCUCCCGUGAUUGUGGAGCCCGCAGGAUAAUCCUAGGUCACCUCCAGGCUCCGAGAGGUCCAUGGCUCCCUAUGACAAUCACUGUUGUGAGACAGAAAGGGGACAGGAACCAAGGACGUUUCAGGCCAACUGACCCAGGACAGGCCCCCAGACUCUCUGGACUGCAAUGACUUAGGAUCGUCAGAAGUGCCAAACCCAAGUUCGUUUACCCUGUCCCCAAGCCCGCUGUGACGACGUUACAGUUCGCCAGCUCAGGUCCACCGGGGAGCCUUGCCCCCUCUGCCCAGAUGACCCUGGGCCCCUCCCUCCCUCCAUCAGCAGGCAGCCUCUCCCAGCUUCCCUGUGGCCUUGGGGACAGCCGCUCACCCUUGGAGGUAAGAGGGGCAUCAGGGAGAAUCUGUGUCCUCACCUAACAUGCAGUUGCCCCAAGGGCAGUUCACACCACACUGUCUUACAGGAGUAGUGAGCAUUACUAAAAGCCACUAGAGGAAAUGCUGGCCAACUCUAACAUGAAAGUGAGCUUCACAGUGGGACUGUCGGACUUCAGGUCCUAGGCUGACUGAAGUGAGUACGGUUGCCGUUCUGUUUAGUGCUUUGUAGAGGGUUUUUGUUGCGAAGAGUUUGAGGGAAGAGCAAACGAGAUGCCACCCGCAUGCCUGCAGGUGGCCCUCAUCACCUGCCCCAUACGUAGGACCUGCACUCUUUGGUAAGGAGCGACUCAAGACACCUGUUCUGAGUGAAGGACCACUGAUCUCGAAGGAUCUUGAAGCUGCCCCAAGAGCCCAUUUAGCUCUCACGGCCAGCUGGCUGUCACUCUGAUGGCUAAGGCCUCCUCCUCCCUGGGUCUAACACGAGACUCUUCAAAAGGUUAAAGGUGCAGGCCUGAGCCGUUCAUUCACCUACACCAGGCAACACUUAGAGAGACAGCUAACAACUGCGUGCCGGGAUGGCAAGCGGCAUCUUGUUUUAUGGAGAAGGAAGAGAGUGAGGCAGUGUCUUCUGGCUUAAGGAGACGGCGAUAGCAUUUUCCGUCUGGGUCUAUAGAUUUAGGGACAGCCCAGCCCGGCUUCCAGCUCCCCAGGCGGCUCUAGUGGUGAAGAACCCACUUGCCAAUGCAGGUAGACAGACACAGGUUCGAUCCCUGGGUCAGAGAGAUCCCCUGGAGGAGGGCAUGGCAACCCACUCCAGUAUUCUUGCCUGGAGCAUCCCAUGGACAGAGGGGCCUGCGGAGUACAGUCCACGGGGUCUCAGAGUCAGACGCAACUGAGCGACUUAGCACAGAGCCCUGUCUGCUUCUCUAAGGACAGAGACACAGCCUGGCCAGAGCAUCCUCCCCAGGCCUCCCCGAACGCUUGUCUCACACUGUCUGGGGCAGCCUGCUGUACCCUCUCCACACCCGCCACCCCCCACUUUACUUCCCCGGCCCCCUGCUGCCCUAGAAGGCUCAAAGGGACGGGGUCCUCUCUCCACUUCAUUUUCUAUAAAGCAACCUAAAGCGUCACCCCCGCCUGCUGGCCUGAGUACAGGCACUUUUCAAGGUCGUUUUGCUGAAGAAUAAAGGGUUGGGGAGGAAGGGGGGCUUCAGAAGAAAAGAGGCUUAUCCCUGUGAGGAGUGAGAGGGGCGAGCAGGAGAGACGCAGUGAGACCGCGCUCAGGGAGGACAGUGCCAGAGAGAGAAGAAAAAGUGGGGACUUUGCCCUGAAGAAAAACAAAAUCCUUCCAGCCCACCAGCCCACCAGCCCCAACCUCCCCAGAAACCCAUUCAAAGCAAACCCAACCCCUGGGGCAGAGCCUGGCUCAGCAACCCAACCCUGAUCAGCAGCGGCGGGCUUGCCCUUAUAUACCCGCUGCGCUUCCCCGCGAUCAGCAGUAACGACACAGGCUGGGCUGGGCGUGCUCCUCACCCUCCUCUGCUACAGGUGGAAGGGGGCCUUCUAGAAGCUCAGAGCAUCUGGCUUCCAGCACCAGGUCCAUGUGGAGAUGGAG
ensembl:lncRNA